rnacentral:rRNA from 1 species
UACGUAGGGGGCGAGCGUUGUCCGGAUUUAUUGGGCGUAAAGAGCGUGUAGGCGGUCAGGUAGGUCCGUUGUGAAAACUCGAGGCUCAACCUCGAGACGCCGAUGGAAACCAUCUGACUAGAGUCCGGAAGAGGAGAGUGGAAUUCCUGGUGUAGCGGUGGAAUGCGCAGAUAUCAGGAGGAACACCAAUAGCGAAGGCAGCUCGCUGGGACGGUAUUGACGCUGAGGCGCGAAAGCGUGGGGAGCAAACAGG